AUUGAACGCUGGCGGCAGGCCUAACACAUGCAAGUCGCGCGGUAGAGAGGUGCUUGCACCUCUUGAGAGCGGCGGACGGGUGAGUAAUGCCUAGGAAUCUGCCUGGUCGUGGGGGAUAACGCUCGGAAACGGACGCUAAUACCGCAUACGUCCUACGGGAGAAAGCAGGGGACCUUCGGGCCUUGCGCUAUCAGACGAGCCUAGGUCGGAUUAGCUAGUUGGUGAAGUAAUGGCUCACCAAGGCGACGAUCCGUAACUGGUCUGAGAGGAUGAUCAGUCACACUGGAACUGAGACACGGUCCAGACUCCUACGGGAGGCAGCAGUGGGGGAUAUUGGACAAUGGGCGAAAGCCUGAUCCAGCCAUGCCGCGUGUGUGAAGAAGGUCUUCGGAUUGUAAAGCACUUUAAGUUGGGAGGAAGGGUCGUUACCUAAUACGUGACGAUUUUGACGUUACCGACAGAAUAAGCACCGGCUAACUCUGUGCCAGCCGCCGCCGUAA
rnacentral:rRNA from 1 species